UACGAAGGGUGCAAGCGUUAAUCGGAAUUACUGGGCGUAAAGGGUGCGUAGGCGGUUGUUUAAGUCUGUCGUGAAAUCCCCGGGCUCAACCUGGGAAUGGCGAUGGAUACUGGGCAGCUAGAGUGUGUCAGAGGAUGGUGGAAUUCCCGGUGUAGCGGUGAAAUGCGUAGAGAUCGGGAGGAACAUCAGUGGCGAAGGCGGCCAUCUGGGACAACACUGACGCUGAAGCACGAAGGCCAGGGGAGCAAACGGG
rnacentral:rRNA from 1 species